AGUCCAAGCCGGGACCAGUGAGUGGCUCUCUGUUGCUUGCAGAUCUAGAUGCAGAAGUCUAAGCUACUUCUCCAGCACCAUGUCUGCCUGUGUGCCACCACGCUGACAAUGGACUAAACCUCUGAAACUGGUUCCUCUAUGUAAUCCUGGCUGUCCUGGAUCUUGCUAUGUGGACCAAGAUGCCCUUGAGCCCAAGAGAUCUGCCUGCCUCUGGCUGCCAUUAAAGUACUGACAUUAAAGGUGUGUGUCAGCAUG